rnacentral:lncRNA from 1 species
UCUGGUAAUGGCUUCCUCUUUUUUUCUUUCUUUUAAUUGUGAGACGGAGUCUCACUAUGUAGGUCUGGCUGUCCAGAAACUCACUAUGUAGACCAGGCUGGAUUCCAACUCAAGAGAUCUGUCUGUCUCUGCCUCCCAGGUACUAGGAUUAAAGGCCUGAGCCACGACACCUGGCCUGCUUGCUUGCUCUUCCUUUUCUUUUCUUUUUUAAAGAUUUAUUUAUUUAUUACAUAUAAUGUACAAUGUAGCUGUCUUCAGACACACCAGAAGAGGGCAUCAGAUCUCAUUACAGAUGGUUGUGAGCCACCAUGUGGUUGCUGGGAUUUGAACUCAGGACCUCUGGAAGAGCAGUCAGUGCUCUUAACCACUGAACCAUCUCUCCAGCCUUUAUUUUUUUCCUUUCUUUUCCUUUCUCUCUCUCUUUUCUUUUCCUUUCCUUUCCUUUCCUUUCCUUUCCUUUCCUUUCCUUUCCUCUCUCUCUCCCCCCCUCCCUCCCUCCCUCUCUUUCUUUCUGUUUUUCAAGACAGGGUUCCUCUAUGUAGUGCUGGCUGUCAUGGAACUUGCUUUGUAGACAAAGCUGGCCUCGAACUCAGAGAUCUGUCUGCCUUUGAGUGCUGGGAUUAAAGGAGUACGCACCACCACCUGGCCUUCUUUCUUUAUAAGCAUACCAAGGCCACCCUAACUGGUGAUGUGCCUGGGAUCUUACAACCCCACAGUACAAUUCUGUCCUCAAAGAUAAGGGUGAUGGAGACGCUGCUGGAUUGG